GCCACCGACCCUCCGAACCCUCUGAACCUGUGAGCCAGAGGAGAGUUGGGGCUCUGCUGCCGGUGCCAUGGACGCCAAGGUUGGCAAUGGCGCAGGCUUCAGGGACGAGAGCAUCACAAACCUGCUGGUGUAUUCCUUCCUCCACACCCGCAACAACUCUAAUUUCCACCCAGAGCUGGAGGCACUGGGCCAGGAACUCCCUGUUGGAGUUUGCCUGGAGGCAGACCACGAUGAUGAACUGCAGACGGAUGGUAAUCGGGGCAGCCGCCUCCUCUACGGGGGAAGGAGAGAGGGAGAUUCUGAAAAUCAAGAAAUAAUUCACAGUAUUGCCUGGCAUCUCGCGGAAAUCGGGGAUGAGUUGGACCGGAGCAUCCAGCCUGGACUGGUGAACCAGCUGGCCAUGCAUUUCAGGAACCCAGGCCUGUCGGAGGAGGGCAGAAGGCACUACCUGGCUGCUACUGUGGAGGAGGUGAUGCAGACCUAUGCUACAGACAUGGAGCAGGAGAAGGCUAAGCUGAUUACGGCCAUGCUGCUGGUCAGAAAGGUGGCUGAUCACACACCAUCCUUGCUCCGUGACAUCUUUCACACAACAGUGAACUUUAUUAACCAGAACCUGCUCACCUAUAUGAGGGACUUAAUCAGAAAUGUAAGUACCAGUGACGCCAGCACCUUGCUAUUUCAUGGGGUCCCUCAGCCUCUGCCUCCUGGCCAUACCAUCUCCUCUAUGGUGUAG
rnacentral:lncRNA from 1 species